GCGCGUUGCCGGGGUGAUCAGGUGACUCGGGGCUCGCGGCGUUCCGGGCAGCCGUGACGUCAGGCGCGCGGCUGUUUCUCUCUUGCUGGGUGGCAGGUGCGGUGCAUCUGGUGCGGUCUUAUCUGGUCGGACCAGGUCCAGACCCAACCAGUGCCGUACGGAUUCGAGAGGAGGGGAGGUACAUUCUGCAGGUCCCUGAUGAACCCAGGGAACCCUCCACCAUAUCCAGGCCCUGGUCCAACAGCCCCGUACCCACCUUAUCCACCACAACCAAUGGGACCAGGGGCCUACCCUCCAGGACCUAUGGGGGGACCCUACCCACCUCCUCAGGGGUACCCCUACCAAGGAUAUCCACAGUAUGGCUGGCAGGGUGGACCUCAGGAGCCUCCUAAAACUACAGUGUACAUGAGGGAACAAGAAAGGAAGACGGAUGCUGGGUGUCAGGCAGCCCUGGCCGCAUGCUGGACUGCUCUCUGCUGUUGCUGCCUCCUGGACAACUUGGACUGAGCAGCCGGGACCAAGUGCUCCCUCCAGGCCCACUGCCUUCUGUUACUGCAAUAAACAACUAGUGUUGUGCCGUGCCAUUUUUUUCUUCGUUUGAAAAAUAAUAAUCUACAGACGUUACCACCUAUGAUAGGUGUGAAGUAGCAUCUCGCUAUCUUUUUUAACAUGCUGACUCAGCAAUUCUGUAUAUUAGGCAUUGCUCACCACAAUAAGUACAGUCACCAUCUGUCACUUACAUUAAUGCAAUAUUCUUGAUUGUGUUCCCUAUGCUGUACUUUUCAUCUCUGCCACUGAUAAUUGGAAGCUUAUACCUCUCGACCCCUUUAUUUCUUUCACUCAUCUCCCCACUCACUUCCUCUUUGGCCAGCAGCACUUCUGUAUUUAAGACUCUGUUUUUUAAUUCCACGUAUAAGUGAAAUCAUACAGUA